rnacentral:sRNA from 1 species
UGAAAAAAGUGUCGGAGAUUGGCGCGUCCUCUGGUUCCUUUAUCGAACUUUCCUUGUAGGAUUGCCACCCAGGACGAUGAGCGGCUGAGAUGGAGACGUCUGCCUCAGCCACUGCCUCCGAGAAGCAAGAAGCCAAAAGUGGGAUCCUGGAGGCCGCUGGCUUCCCCGACCCGGGUAAAAAGGCCUCUCCUUUGGUAGUGGCUGCAGCGGCAGCAGCAGCGGUAGCUGCCCAAGGAGUGCCGCAGCAUCUCUUGCCACCGUUCCAUGUGUCCCUACCAAUUGACAUGCGACACCAGGAAGGAAGGUACCAUUACGAGCCUCAUUCUGUCCACGGUGUGCACGGGCCCCCCGCCCUCAGCGGCAGCCCUGUCAUCUCUGACAUCUCCUCGAUCCGGCUUUCCCCGCACCCGGCUGGCCCUGGGGAGUCCCCAUUCAACGCUCCCCACCCGUACGUGAACCCCCACAUGGAACACUACCUCCGUUCUGUGCACAGCAGCCCCACGCUCUCCAUGAUCUCUGCGGCCAGGGGCCUCAGCCCCGCUGACGGUGAGUAGGGUAUGGGGAUGGGGAGGGGCAGCUAGGGCAUUGGAGCAGGGCUCAGCCAGCCUCUCUCACACUAACACUGUCAACUCCCCCCAGCCUUGGUCCCUUUGAACGGUGACCAGGCUGGUGUUCUUCACACUACUUCCAAACAACAAGUUUUUUGGGUUUUAUGCUCAUUAAAGAGCCCUUGGUAAGCACUCUUUUGCAUGCAAACCAUAUAUGAUCUAUUGUAAUAAUAACGGUAAGGGUCUAUCCUAGUAGGUCUUGUGUAGCUGAGAACCACUGGUUGUAACCAACCAAAGUCUGCAGAAGCUGUUGU